UGCCCUAGUAACGGCGAGUGAAGCGGCAACAGCUCAAAUUUGAAAUCUGGCGUCUUUGGCGUCCGAGUUGUAAUUUGCAGAGGGCGCUUUGGCAUUGGCAGCGGUCCAAGUUCCUUGGAACAGGACGUCACAGAGGGUGAGAAUCCCGUACGUGGUCGCUAGCCUUUACCGUGUAAAGCCCCUUCGACGAGUCGAGUUGUUUGGGAAUGCAGCUCUAAAUGGGAGGUAAAUUUCUUCUAAAGCUAAAUACUGGCCAGAGACCGAUAGCGCACAAGUAGAGUGAUCGAAAGAUGAAAAGCACUUUGGAAAGAGAGUUAAAAAGCACGUGAAAUUGUUGAAAGGGAAGCGCUUGCAGCCAGACUUGCCUGUAGUUGCUCAUCCGGGUUUUUACCCGGUGCACUCUUCUACGGGCAGG
rnacentral:rRNA from 1 species